rnacentral:rRNA from 1 species
UGCUGGAGGUAUCAGAAGUGCGAAUGCUGACAUAAGUAACGAUAAAGCGGGUGAAAAGCCCGCUCGCCGGAAGACCAAGGGUUCCUGUCCAACGUUAAUCGGGGCAGGGUGAGUCGACCCCUAAGGCGAGGCCGAAAGGCGUAGUCGAUGGGAAACGGGUUAAUAUUCCCGUACUUGGUGUUACUGCGAAGGGGGGACGGAGAAGGCUAUGUUGGCCGGGCGACGGUUGUCCCGGUUUAAGCGUGUAGGUGUGUGUUCCAGGUAAAUCCGGUUCACUUUAACACUGAGGCGUGAUGACGAGGCACUACGGUGCUGAAGCAACAAAUGCCCUGCUUCCAGGAAAAGCCUCUAAGCAUCAGGUAACACCAAAUCGUACCCCAAACCGACACAGGUGGUCAGGUAGAGAAUACCAAGGCGCUUGAGAGAACUCGGGUGAAGGAACUAGGCAAAAUGGUGCCGUAACUUCGGGAGAAGGCACGCUGACACGUAGGUGAAGUGAUUUACUCACGGAGCUGAAGUCAGUCGAAGAUACCAGCUGGCUGCAACUGUUUAUUAAAAACACAGCACUGUGCAAACACGAAAGUGGACGUAUACGGUGUGACGCCUGCCCGGUGCCGGAAGGUUAAUUGAUGGGGUCAGCGNAAGCGAAGCUCCUGAUCGAAGCCCCGGUAAACGGCGGCCGUAACUAUAACGGUCCUAAGGUAGCGAAAUUCCUUGUCGGGUAAGUUCCGACCUGCACGAAUGGCGUAAUGAUGGCCAGGCUGUCUCCACCCGAGACUCAGUGAAAUUGAACUCGCUGUGAAGAUGCAGUGUACCCGCGGCAAGACGGAAAGACCCCGUGAACCUUUACUAUAGCUUGACACUGAACAUUGAGCCUUGAUGUGUAGGAUAGGUGGGAGGCUUUGAAGUGUGGACGCCAGUCUGCAUGGAGCCGACCUUGAAAUACCACCCUUUAAUGUUUGAUGUUCUAACGUGGACCCGUAAUCCGGGUUGCGGACAGUGUCUGGUGGGUAGUUUGACUGGGGCGGUCUCCUCCUAAAGAGUAACGGAGGAGCACGAAGGUUGGCUAAUCCUGGUCGGACAUCAGGAGGUUAGUGCAAUGGCAUAAGCCAGCUUGACUGCGAGCGUGACGGCGCGAGCAGGUGCGAAAGCAGGUCAUAGUGAUCCGGUGGUUCUGAAUGGAAGGGCCAUCGCUCAACGGAUAAAAGGUACUCCGGGGAUAACAGGCUGAUACCGCCCAAGAGUUCAUAUCGACGGCGGUGUUUGGCACCUCGAUGUCGGCUCAUCACAUCCUGGGGCUGAAGUAGGUCCCAAGGGUAUGGCUGUUCGCCAUUUAAAGUGGUACGCGAGCUGGGUUUAGAACGUCGUGAGACAGUUCGGUCCCUAUCUGCCGUGGGCGCUGGAGAACUGAGGGGGGCUGCUCCUAGUACGAGAGGACCGGAGUGGACGCAUCACUGGUGUUCGGGUUGUCAUGCCAAUGGCACUGCCCGGUAGCUAAAUGCGGAAGAGAUAAGUGCUGAAAGCAUCUAAGCACGAAACUUGCCCCGAGAUGAGUUCUCCCUGAGACUUAGAGUCUCCUGAAGGAACGUUGAAGACGACGACGUUGAUAGGCCGGGUGUGUAAGCGCAGCGAUGCGUUGAGCUAACCGGUACUAAUGAACCGUGAGGCUUAACCUUACAACGCCGAAG